CGUGUAGGCGGUUUAGCAAGUCAGAUGUGAAAGCCCUGGGCUUAACCCGGGAAGUGCAUUUGAAACUGCUUCACUAGAGUAUGGGAGAGGAGAUUGGAAUUCCUGGUGUAGAGGUGAAAUUCGUAGAUAUCAGGAGGAACACCCGUGGCGAAGGCGAUUCUCUGGACCAAUACUGACGCUGAGACGCGAAAGCGUGGGGAGCAAACAGGAUUAGAUACCCUGGUAGUCC
rnacentral:rRNA from 1 species